AGCUUUGCGCAGUGGCUGUACCAUAGCCAGUGAGGUUUAUCGGAGGUGCGAUUGUUGCUAACUGAAAACCCAUGGAGCAAUAGAAUUUAAAAUUCAGUAUUACAUACAUGUA
rnacentral:snRNA from 1 species